ensembl:lncRNA
GGUCUGUGGGUGGAGGGGCAGUGGGGGAGAUGUGGUGACGAUGUCGGAGCUGAGGGGCUUUGGGGGCUAUUUGGGGAUGUGGGAGGAUAUUGGGCUGUAGGGUGCUGUGUGGGGAUCUCAAGGGAUAUGGGGAUAUCGGUGGGUUUUGGGAAUAGAGCGGGAUGGAGGGAUGUGGGGCCCACAGGGGUGCUAUAGAGGGAUGUAGGGCUGUGCGUGGGUUGUAGGAGGAGAUGGGGCUGUAGGGGGCUGUGUUGGGAAUCCAGGGAGGGUGUGAGGGGCCAUGGGGAGGCCAGAGGGAGAAAUGGGACUGUAUGGGGAAUAGGGUAGUGCUUUGGGGCGACGAGGGGCUGUAGUGGGUUAUAGGGUUGGAUAUUGGGGGAUAUGGGGCUGUAGUGGUCUGUGGGGGCUAUCGGGAGGGAUGUGGGGCUUUUGGGGGCUUUAAGGGGGCUGCAGAGGGAUAUAGGGCUGUGUGGGGGUUGUUGGAGGAUAUGAGGCUAUAGGGCGCUAGGGUGGCUCUAGGGUUGGCUCUAGGGUUGUGCGGGGCUUUAGGGAGCUUAAUUGUGUCUCUAGGGGGGCUAUUGGGCUCUGGAAAGCUGUGGGGGACUGUAGAAGGGGUAUUGGGGUAUAUGGGAAAAGAGGGGGAUGCGGUUGGGAUCUAGGGAUCUGUGGGAUCUAUUGGGGGAUAUGGGGCUCUAGGGUGCUGCGGGGUCUUUAGGGAGAGUUUUAGGGCUAUGUGGGAGAUAUAGUGGGAUUUGGUUCUCUAGGGGGCUGUGGGGGUAUAGGGGUGGUAUGGCUCUGUAGGGGGCUUUGGGAGGGGCUACACGGUUCUAUGAGGGGACUGUAAGGGCUAUAGGGGUGUUCGAGGGGGAUAUGUGGCUUUAGGGGUUUGUGGCAACAUGUGGGAGGGUUGAGGGUGCUAGGGGUUGGGGGGGGCUCUAGGGCAGGAUGUUGUGCUGUAGGAGAUUGUGGGGGCCUGAGGGAGGAUAUAGGGUGUCUGUGGGGAUAUAGGGGAGAUAUGGAGUCUAGAAGGGUUCUAGGGGGAUAUGAGGUUGGAUAUGGGAGAGUGUGGGGGGCUCUGUAGGGGGUCUAGGGCCAGUGUGUGUCUGUGGGGAGCUGUAAGGGGAGAUGGGGCUUUAGGGGCUGGGGGACUGUAGGGAGGGUUUUAGGGCUGUAGAGUGGACAUGGGGUGCUAUGGGGCUGUAGGGAGCAGGGGAAUAAUAUGGGGCUGUAGGGGGCUAUUGGGGAAGCUGUAUGGUUCUUUGGGGAGGUUAUAGGUGGCAGUGGGAGAGCUAUACUGGGUUUACAGGUAAUUAUGUGGCUAUAGGGUUCUGUGGGUGGGCUGUAGGAGGGUUCUAGUAGGGUAGGAGGUUAUAGGGGGCUGUGGAGGGGAUAUAGGGAGAUAUGGGGCAAUAGUGGGUUUUUAGGGGGUUGUGUUGGGCUGUGGGAGAGUAUAGGAUGAUAGGGGGCCGGGAAGGGUCUGUAGAGAGGGAUGUUAUGCUGGAGAAGGUAUGGGGGGAUAAAAGUGGGCUGUGGGGGUUAUAGUGGGGCUGUGGUGGGCUGUUGAGGGAUAUAGGGAGAUAUAAGGCUAUAGGGGGUGUUUGGAGGAUGUGGUCCUCUAAAGUGCUGUUUGGGUUUACAGGAUGAUCUGGAGCUAUAGGGUGAUCUCUAAAGGGAUGUGGGGCUAGAAGGCUCUCCCUUCCUUCCUUUCCUCCCUUCCACAGCAGGGAGGGUGAAAUGCUAGUCAUGAAAUUGAAAUUGGAACUGAAGUUGUCUUGGAAUAGAAUAUGAUGCUUUUGUGGUCUUCAAUCUGAAACGUGUUUUCUCCUUGGGUUUAGGUUAUCUGUUUAUGUUUAAUGAUUAUGCUUAAUAAUCUAAUCAUGUUUCAUAAUGCCUUUUGAAAAGGUUUCAGUCUCCAUUCUGCUGAUCCGAAAGAAAGAAGGUGGCUUUUGGGGGACUUAAUCAUCACGAGUCGAG